GUUGUCAUCCGGCUCCGUUGGGUUCUCACCCGCCUGUCCUGUCAGUACCGCCAAUGUAACAAAGUUAAAGGUCUGGAUCCCGUGUGACUGAAGUGGAUCUGAAUAAAUCAAAUCCAGUAUCUCAUCUCAUCCUCACUUCUGUCGUGACAAACUGCUUCCUGAGGCAGCUGUCAGACCUGAUCCAGCUCUCGAGAAAACCACCUCGUGUGGCAGCAGGUCUGAAGUCCAGAUGCUGUGCAGACCCGGCCUGGUGUAGCCCCACAUUUAGCUAGUUUAAGUCCAGGUGUAGGCUAGGUAUAGCUUAGGUAUGGUCUAGGUACAGUCAAGGUUUUGCCAAGGUUCAGGUUGGGUGUAGAAGCCCGGGUUCAGUCCGGGUGUAAACCAUGUGUAGCCUAGGUUGAGUCCAGAUGUAGGCUAGGUGUAGUCCAACUCCAGACCAGGUUCAGUGUGAGUUCAGUCCAGAUGUAGGCUAGGUUUAGUCCAGAUGUAGGCUAGGUUUAGCCCAGGUGUAGUCCAGCUCCAGACCAGGUUCAGAUUUAGUCUAGAUGUAGGCUAGGUUUAGCCCAGGUGUAGUCCAGCUCCAGACCAGGUUCAGAUUUAGUCCAGAUGUAGGCUAGGUUUAGCCCAGGUGUAGUCCAGCUCCAGACCAGGUUCAGAUUUAGUCCAGAUGUAGGCUAGGUUUAGUCCAGGUGUAGUCCAGCUCCAGACCAGGUUCAGAUUUAGUCCAGAUGUAGGCUAGGUUUAGCCCAGGUGUAGUCCAGCUCCAGACCAGGUUCAGAUUUAGUCCAGAUGUAGGCUAGGUUUAACCCAGGUGUAGUCCAGCUCCAGACCAGAUUCAGAUUUAGUCCAGAUGUAGGCUAGGUUUAGUCCAGGUGUAGUCCAGCUCCAGAUCAGAUUCAGAUUUAGUCCAGAUGUAGGCUAGGUUUAGUCCAGGUGUAGUCCAGCUCCAGACCAGAUUCAGGUUUAGUCCAGAUGUAGGCUAGGUUUAGUCCAGGUGUAGUCCAGCUCCAGACCAGAUUCAGAUUUAGUCCAGAUGUAGGCUAGGUUUAGUCCAGGUGUAGUCCAGCUCCAGACCAGAUUCAGAUUUAGUCCAGAUGUAGGCUAGGUUUAGCCCAGGUGUAGUCCAGCUCCAGACCAGAUUCAGAUUUAGUCCAGAUGUAGGCUAGGUUCAGCCCAGGUGUAGUCCAGCUCCAGACCAGAUUCAGAUUUAGUCCAGAUGUAGGCUAGGUUUAGCCCAGGUGUAGUCCAGCUCCAGACCAUGUUCAGAUUUAGUCCAGAUGUAGGCUAGGUUUAGCCCAGGUGUAGUCCAGACCAGGUUCAGAUUUAGUCCAGAUGUAGGCUAGGUUUAGCCCAGGUGUAGUCCAGCUCCAGACCAGAUUCAGAUAUAGUCCAGAUGUAGGCUAGGUUUAGCCCAGGUGUAGUCCAGCUCCAGACCAGGUUCAGAUUUAGUCCAGAUGUAGGCUAGGUUUAGCCCAGGUGUAGUCCAGCUCCAGACCAGGUUCAGAUUUAGUCCAGAUGUAGGCUAGGUUUAGCCCAGGUGUAGUCCAGCUCCAGACCAGGUUCAGAUUUAGUCCAGAUGUAGGCUAGGUUUAGCCCAGGUGUAGUCCAGAUUCAGAUUUAGUCCAGAUGUAGGCUAGGUUUAGCCCAGGUGUAGUCCAGCUCCAGACCAGAUUCAGAUAUAGUCCAGAUGUAGGCUAGGUUUAGCCCAGGUGUAGUCCAGCUCCAGACCAGAUUCAGAUUUAGUCCAGAUGUAGGCUAGGUUUAGCCCAGGUGUAGUCCAGCUCCAGACCAGAUUCAGAUUUAGUCUAGAUGUAGUCCAGAAUAUACUAAAUGCGUCCCCCUGUCAGCCAAUCAGAUUUAAGAACAGCUCCUCACCUUUUUGUAACAGAACAACAUGCCAUGACAUCACUUCCUGUUUGUGCCACAUUUGUAUUCCUGAUAGUUUUAUUGGUCAGAUAUGUUUUGAGGACAUUUGGUAUUUUUAGCUGCUGCUGAGUUUGAUGUUCAGAGAAGGUGCAGACAGGAUGUCCCACCCUGCUGCUGGUGGACUCUGGUACUGCAGACAGGAUGUCCCACCCUGCUGCUGGUGGACUCUGGUACUGCAGACAGGAUGUCCCACCCUGCUGGUCGAGUACUGCAGACCGGCUCACCUUGUUAGAAUCAGCGGCAGCUGGUAGGGGGGCGAGACAAAACCAGCAGCACUGUAAAGUCCUCACUGAACCUCACCUGGUACUGGGUCUGACUCUCAGUCCAGAUCAGACCACAGUCCAGUCUUGUGUUGAGAUCCUCUCUGGUUGACUGACAGCUCACUCAGAUGAACAUUCUCCUGAGG